rnacentral:rRNA from 1 species
GCAACAACCUAGCCCAACCAACAAAUAAACUCAAAAAAUAAUACUAAUCCUACCAAACUAUAUACAAAACGAUUUUACCAUCGCUAGUAUAGGUUAUAGAAAAGAC